rnacentral:rRNA from 1 species
UACGUAGGAUGCAAGCGUUAAUCGGAAUUACUGGGCGUAAAGCGCGCGUAGGCGGCUUUGCAAGUCGGGUGUGAAAUCCCCCAGGCUUAACCUGGGAACUGCAUUCGAGACUGCAUUGCUAGAGUAUGGGAGAGGGAAGUGGAAUUUCCGGUGUAGCGGUGAAAUGCGUAGAUAUCGGAAGGAACAUCAGUGGCGAAAGCGACUUCCUGGACCAAUACUGACGCUCAUGUGCGAAAGCGUGGGGAGCAAACAGG